rnacentral:rRNA from 1 species
AACGUAGGACGCAAGCGUUAUCCGGAGUUACUGGGCGUAAAGGGCGGGCAGGCGGUUCGUCAAGUGGGGUGUGAAAGCUCCCAGCUUAACUGGGAGAGGCCAUUCCAAACUGACGGACUGGAGGGCAGCAGAGGUAGGCGGAAUUCCGGGUGGAGUGGUGAAAUGCGUAGAUAUUGGGAGGAACACCAGUGGCGAAGGCGGCUCACUGGACUGGUACUGACGCUGAGGCGCGAAAGCGUGGGGAGCAAACGGG